CAUAUCUCAUGGCCAUAUACAAAAGAAUAAGUAUACCAUUUAAGCCAUUACAUUGGCUAGCCAAAUGACACAUAUAACAAAAUAACCCAAAAUCCUAUACAUGCCAUUAAACAAAAUGGAAGUAUCUAGAUACUAAAGUAGGACAAGUCGAUAGUGUGUUGAUUCUCUAACCGUCUUCCAAUCUUCACGAGUCCACGAGCUCUGUAAGGCAGGGAAAAGAGAAUAGGGUAAGCAUUUAUAUGCUUAGUAAGUC
rnacentral:lncRNA from 1 species